rnacentral:rRNA from 1 species
AGCGAACGCUGGCGGCAGGCUUAACACAUGCAAGUCGAGCGGGCAUCCUUGUGGUGUCAGCGGCAGACGGGUGAGUAACGCGUGGGAACGUGCCCUUCGGUUCGGAAUAACUCAGGGAAACUUGAGCUAAUACCGGAUACGUGCGAGAGCAGAAAGGUUUAUCUGCCGAAGGAUCGGCCCGCGUCUGAUUAGCUAGUUGGUAAGGUUACGGCUCACCAAGGCGACGAUCAGUAGCUGGUCUGAGAGGAUGAUCAGCCACACUGGGACUGAGACACGGCCCAGACUCCUACGGGAGGCAGCAGUGGGGAAUAUUGGACAAUGGGGGCAACCCUGAUCCAGCCAUGCCGCGUGAGUGAUGACGGCCUUAGGGUUGUAAAGCUCUUUUCUCCGGGACGAUAAUGACGGUACCGGAGGAAUAAGCCCCGGCUAAAUUCGUG